UACGAAGGGGGCUAGCGUUGCUCGGAAUCACUGGGCGUAAAGGGUGCGUAGGCGGGUCUUAAGUCAGGGGUGAAAUCCUGGAGCUCAACUCCAGAACUGCCUUUGAUACUGAGGAUCUUGAGUUCGGGAGAGGUGAGUGGAACUGCGAGUGUAGAGGUGAAAUUCGUAGAUAUUCGCAAGAACACCAGUGGCGAAGGCGGCUCACUGGCCCGAUACUGACGCUGAGGCGCGAAAGCGUGGGGAGCAAACAGGG
rnacentral:rRNA from 1 species